rnacentral:sRNA from 1 species
UCAAUAUCGACAUGAAGUGGUGCAGUAUCCUAGUCGGUAUUGUUAAUUCUGAAGACGGGCCUAAAAAUCCGUUAAAGGCAUAUCGAUGAAGUUCCUGGUGCUGGCUUUUGAUGCCCAAUCGAGGGCUCGUGCUGGGAGUUAAGAAAAGAGGGGCAACCUGCAAUGGCAUGUGGGCAUUGACCCCCUUUUCGUGGAGACCUAUUCACGUGGCAUGAUGCUACGGUAUAGGGUGAACCUACCAUGCGGUAAUAAAGCUGUGGGUAGUGUAGCCUGCCUUGAGUGAUUAAGGUGGUUAUCAGACUGAACUUUAACUUAAUGAGCUCUUAAGUUAAAGCUAUUGCUGAUGAAACCUUAAUUGCAAAAGAGGAUAGGAAUUAACAAACCGUCGAGGAAAGCUCCUAGGCUGCUCGAACGAGGCAUAUUGAGGAUUACAGUGUGGACUAAGUGGUAAUCCAGUCAUACCAUUGGCGACAAGGUAGAUUCAGGCUUAAAGGGAAACCGCCAAAUGGCGACAGUUGGUGCCUGAAUGGGAAAUCCUGCUGGACCUAAGCCACAAAAUUUACUCAAUAUGCUACCACUUCAAUACAUAGGGAG